rnacentral:rRNA from 2 species
UCUGUAACUGACGCUGAGGCUCGAAAGCAUGGGUAGCGAACAGGAUUAGAUACCCUGGUAGUCCAUGCCGUAAACGAUGAAUGCUAGGUGUUGGAGGGUUUCCGCCCUUCAGUGCCGCAGCUAACGCAUUAAGCAUUCCGCCUGGGGAGUACGACCGCAAGGUUGAAACUCAAAGGAAUUGACGGGGGCCCGCACAAGCGGUGGAGCAUGUGGUUUAAUUCGAAGCAACGCGAAGAACCUUACCAGGUCUUGACAUCUUUUGAUCACCUGAGAGAUCAGGUUUCCCCUUCGGGGGCAAAAUGACAGGUGGUGCAUGGUUGUCGUCAGCUCGUGUCGUGAGAUGUUGGGUUAAGUCCCGCAACGAGCGCAACCCUUAUGACUAGUUGCCAGCAUUUAGUUGGGCACUCUAGUAAGACUGCCGGUGACAAACCGGAGGAAGGUGGGGAUGACGUCAAAUCAUCAUGCCCCUUAUGACCUGGGCUACACACGUGCUACAAUGGAUGGUACAACGAGUUGCGAGACCGCGAGGUCAAGCUAAUCUCUUAAAGCCAUUCUCAGUUCGGACUGUAGGCUGCAACUCGCCUACACGAAGUCGGAAUCGCUAGUAAUCGCGGAUCAGCACGCCGCGGUGAAUACGUUCCCGGGCCUUGUACACACCGCCCGUCACACCAUGAGAGUUUGUAACACCCGAAGCCGGUCGGGUAACCC